rnacentral:rRNA from 1 species
GAUGAACGCUGGCGGCGUGCCUAAUACAUGCAAGUCGAGCGAAUGGAUUAAGAGCUUGCUCGUAUGAAGUUAGCGGCGGACGGGUGAGUAACACGUGGGUAACCUGCCCAUAAGACUGGGAUAACUCCGGGAAACCGGGGCUAAUACCGGAUAACAUUUUGAACCGCAUGGUUCGAAAUUGAAAGGCGGCUUCGGCUGUCGCUUAUGGAUGGACCCGCGUCGCAUUAGCUAGUUGGUGAGGUAACGGCUCACCAAGGCAACGAUGCGUAGCCGACCUGAGAGGGAGAUCGGCCACACUGGGACUGAGACACGGCCCAGACUCCUACGGGAGGCAGCAGUAGGGAAUCUUCCGCAAUGGGCGAAAGUCUGACGGAGCAACGCCGCGUGAGUGAUGAAGGCUUUCGGGUCGUAAAACUCUGUUGUUAGGGAAGAACAGGUGCUAGUUGAAUAAGCUGGCACCUUGACGGUACCUAACCAGAAAGCCACGGCUAACUACGUGCCAGCAGCCGCCGUAA